GAGAGGUCGACGAGCGGCGCGCGCGCACGGACAACAGCGAAGAGCUCGGCGCGCAGCGAGUUGGAACUGGAGCGUCGCGAUGGGCGAAGUGGAGCACGGUCAGCGGGCGUCUACCAAAGAACUCGCGCGGUACACAGGGAGAACAGGCGGCCACCAGGGAGAGCGUCCAGGCGCGCGCGACGAGCAGAGAGCCUGCCAUGGAAACAGAGGGAGCAGGGCACGGCGAGCUGGAGUACCGCGGCCAUGGAACCGAGCAGAUAGAGCGCCGUGAGAUGGAGCUGGGCAGUGGAGAGCUCGGCUGGGCGAGCAGGGACGCCGCGAGCAGAGGCAAACAGCCAUGGACGGAGCAGGAGAGAAAGAGCCGCGAGCGCUGAGAGAGAGAAGCAGGGGGGGCGCGGCCAUGGGAGUGGCAGGACCGAGCGCCGGCCGAGCUCCGGCCAUGAAGGGAGUUCCGGCCACAGAGGGACGCAGGGAGCGCAGGAAGCUCCAAGCGGAGGAGACGCGCAGGGAAGAAUCGAGCACGGUAGGAUUUUCUUCUCGAGCUGAACGGUGGCUUGGACACGCGCAAAGUGAUAUAGACGCUGAAAAAAAAUCUGCGCAGGGGCGGCGGCUGAUUUUUUUGCAGGCUGAGAAGAUGAGAGACGAGCGCAGCUGAGCGGAGACGUUGUCGUUCUGGAGAUUCAGAUAAGAACCGGAGACCUGUUCGUGCUGGACUGCUGGAGAUAAGGACCAGCGAUUAAAUGAUCCUUGAGCGGUAGCUAGUGGAUAAAGAAUAAGAGAGAGUACGGUGGAGGAUUAGUCUAAAUAGAUAUUUUUCUAUGUUCUAUUGUUUUUUAUUUUCUUUCUUUUUUUUACCGAAAAACAUAGAUAUUUUAGAUCCGAUUUUUUUAGCGAUGUAUAUAGGGUAGACAGUAAUUGUGACACGAUUUUGAUUUGGUGAAUACUUUGUAAUCAAAUGAAUUUGCGCCCGUUAUUUAUAUCCAAAAUUUUGGAUCGGGGCGAG
rnacentral:misc_RNA from 1 species